UACGUAGGGUGCAAGCGUUAAUCGGAAUUAUUGGGCGUAAAGCGCGUGUAGGCGGCUUUGCAAGUCGGGUGUGAAAGCCCUCAGCUCAACUGAGGAAGUGCGCCCGAAACUGCAGAGCUUGAGUGCCGGAGAGGGUGGCGGAAUUCCCCAAGUAGAGGUGAAAUUCGUAGAUAUGGGGAGGAACACCGGUGGCGAAGGCGGCCACCUGGACGGUAACUGACGCUGAGACGCGAAAGCGUGGGGAGCAAACAGG
rnacentral:rRNA from 1 species